rnacentral:tRNA from 1 species
GACCCGGUAGCUCAGGUGGUAGAGCACCUGCCUUUUAAGCAGGGAGUCGUUGGUUCGAGUCCAACCCGGGUCACCA